rnacentral:lncRNA from 1 species
CAGUUCCCAGUCGUGCGCUCGUGGCCCAGACCAGACCCGGGCUGGUGUGUGGAGCCAGCCACGCGGGCCCGUCUGUCCUGCGUGCCCUGAGUGGGCGCAGAUGAGAGAGGGCGCGGUUGCUCCGUCCGCUUUUCUCCCCUCUCGCCCCCACGCGGGGAGCCGUCCAGCGAGGCCUGGCUGGACUGAGCCCGUGCCGGACACGGUGCUCCGUUGCCGUCCUGGAGGGCCCAGAGGAUUGCUCGAGGUGUGCCCACCAGGCCCCUCCCCUGAGACAGGGGGCUGGGUGCCGUCAGGUUCUUUCUUGGCUGCCCCUGGAACCCGGAGGUGGCCCUUGCCUGGUUCCUGGAUCCUUUCACUUCCCCUUCCUCGUCGCCUUGCCGUGUGGAAGGCAAGGGCCGCUCUUAGCCCGCCAGCCCUGGCCAAGGAGGGGAACCCACUCGGAGGGUGGGGUGGCACCAAGGCCUUGCGCGGCCCAACGCACAAGGGGGGACGGCGCGCCCUGCUGCGGGCCCUCGCCCUGGCCCCGGUGCCACCACUUUCCCUUGGCCGGGAUUCUUUGUGGCCUAGGCAGGCAGGCGCCCGUGCUGUCUCCGCACUGACCUAGGCACCCACCCACAUGAGGCGUCGGGAGGUGUGGGGCCGGGAGAACAUUGCUCUGCCUGGUUUCCUAGGCGGAGGCAGGUGUGUUGUCGGCAGAGACCCUCACUCAGGCCAAGUGCGUGAUGUCUCUUCUUCUUCCGCAGACGCCGAGCCCGGCACCCGGGUACCUGUUCCGGACGUGCCGCUCCCAACCAUGACUCCCAGCACCGAGGAGGCUGACCACGACCACGACCACGACCCCGACCCCGACCACGACGCCGAGCCCGGCACCCGGGAACCUGUUCCGGACGUGCCGCUCCCAACCAUGACUCCCAGCACCGAGGAGGCUGACCACGACCACGACCACGACCACGACCACGACCACGACCACGACGCCGAGCCCGGCACCCGGGAACCUGUUCCGGACGUGCCGCUCCCAACCAUGACUCCCAGCACCGAGGAGGCUGACCACGACCACGACCACGACCACGACCACGACCACGACGCCGAGCCCGGCACCCGGGAACCUGUUCCGGACGUGCCGCUCCCAACCAUGACUCCCAGCACCGAGGCUGACCACGACCACGACCACGACCACGACCACGACCACGGUAGGGGCCCGUGUGCCUUGUGUCCUCUGCCCCUGGGAGCCCGCUGGGUUGCCGGGGCUCCUUGAGCGAGAACGGGCUUUCCUAUUGCCUCCGGGACCGGGAAGGUGUCGCCAUGCGAUUCCUUGUCCCGAAACGCUGGCCUGUGCUCUGGAGCUGCGGGGACGUCCUCGGGGCUCUGCCCGGGAAGGAUGUGCUCCCUGGGGAGAGAGGGGCCGCGGUGCGAGUCCGGCGCUCCGAGACGGGGCCGUGUGUCCUCCCGGGUUCUCUGGUUGGCUGCACGCUGCCUGGGCCUGUCCGCAGGUUGUCCGUUGCUCUGCGUGGUGGUCUCCUAACCCGUGCGGGAGGGGCGUAGGCUUCCCCGCCCCCCACGUCUGCUCCCGCCAUGACCCCGGGGGUCUGGUGCAGCACUCCCGGCCCGCAUGCCUGGCGUUGCCACGGAGGCUGCGAGUGCAGAAGCCUCAUGGGACCCGGCGUGGAGUGCCCCACUGCCCCUGGUGGCCCAGUGUGCGCAGCGGACUUAGGCGCGGGCACGCUGGGCUCCGCGAGGGUGGUGCUCUGUGCCUCUGCCUCUCCUGAGACGUCCUUGCCUUCCUCUUGGCGUUGGCUGGUCUCCGAGCUCCCGGGACAGCGUCCAGGAGGCGUGGCCGCUGCCUGAGGACAAGUCCUCGAUGUGCCCUCUGACGCUGGCACGAGCGUGUUCUGGACCCGGGCCGUGCCCCCAGGCAGCUGGGGAGUUGUCUGCCUUGUAGUGCGGCGGGCCACCAGGAGAAUCUGACCCAGUGUCCUGGAUGGGCCAGUUCCCAGUCGUGCGCUCGUGGCCCAGACCAGACCCGGGCUGGUGUGUGGAGCCAGCCACGCGGGCCCGUCUGUCCUGCGUGCCCUGAGUGGGCGCAGAUGAGAGAGGGCGCGGUUGCUCCGUCCGCUUUUCUCCCCUCUCGCCCCCACGCGGGGAGCCGUCCAGCGGGGCCUGGCUGGACUGAGCCCGUGCCGGACACGGUGCUCCGUUGCCGUCCUGGAGGGCCCAGAGGAUUGCUCGAGGUGUGCCCACCAGGCCCCUCCCCUGAG